UACGUAGGGUGCGAAGCGUUGUCCGGAUUUAUUGGGCGUAAAGAGCGUGUAGGCGGCCAGGUAGGUCUGCUGUGAAAACUCGAGGCUCAACCUCGAGACGUCGGCGGAAACCAUCUGGCUAGAGUCCGGAAGAGGAGAGUGGAAUUCCUGGUGUAGCGGUGAAAUGACGCAGAUAUCAGGAAGAACACCCGUGGCGAAGGCGGCUCUCUGGGACGGUACUGACGCUGAGACGCGAAAGCGUGGGGAGCGAACGGG
rnacentral:rRNA from 1 species